CAGUCGCCGCGGGAACACAGAGGCCUCAAGCGUUGUUCGGAUUCAUUGGGCGUAAAGGGUGCGUAGGUGGCUUGGUAAGUUGAAGGUGAAAUCUCGGGGCUUAACCCCGAAACUGCCUUCAAUACUGCUAGGCUCGAGGACUGUAGAGGAGAAUGGAAUUCACGGUGUAGCAGUGAAAUGCGUAGAUAUCGUGAGGAAGACCAGUGGCGAAGGCGAUUCUCUGGGCAGUUCCUGACACUGAGGCACGAAGGCCAGGGGAGCAAACGGGAUUAGAUACCCGCGUAGUCCCUGUCUCUUAUAC
rnacentral:rRNA from 1 species